rnacentral:rRNA from 1 species
GAUGAACGCUGGCGGCGUGCUUAACACAUGCAAGUCGAACGGAAAGGCUCCUGCUUGCCGGGGUACUCGAGUGGCGAACGGGUGAGUAACACGUGGGUGAUCUGCCCUGCACUUCGGGAUAAGCCUGGGAAACUGGGUCUCAUACCGGAUAGGACGAUGGUUUGGAUGCCAUUGUGGAAAGUUUUUCGGUGUGGGAUGAGCUCGCGGCCUAUCAGCUUGUUGGUGGGGUAAUGGCCUACCAAGGCGUCGACGGGUAGCCGGCCUGAGAGGGUGUACGGCCACAUUGGGACUGAGAUACGGCCCAGACUCCUACGGGAGGCAGCAGUGGGGAAUAUUGCACAAUGGGCGCAAGCCUGAUGCAGCGACGCCGCGUGGGGGAUGACGGCCUUCGGGUUGUAAACUCCUUUCGCUAGGGACGAAGCGCAAGUGACGGUACCUGGAGAAGAAGCACCGGCUAACUACGUG